rnacentral:rRNA from 1 species
UACAGAGGUCCCAAGCGUUGUUCGGAUUCAUUGGGCGUAAAGGGUGCGUAGGUGGCGCCGUAAGUCGGGUGUGAAAUUUCGGAGCUUAACUCCGAAACUGCAUUCGAUACUGCCGUGCUUGAGGACUGGAGAGGAGACUGGAAUUCACGGUGUAGCAGUGAAAUGCGUAGAGAUCGUGAGGAAGACCAGUGGCGAAGGCUGGUCUCUGGACAGUUCCUGACACUGAGGCACGAAGGCCAGGGGAGCAAACGGG